CUUGAACGGAGCAAAAACCGUGAGUUCAUGACAAACCCUUUUCAGUUUGUUUGGUUUUUGUAAAUUAGUAUUUUUUAAUUGAGAUGGA